AGAUGCAGUAACAGGAGGAGAAGAUAGAAAUUAAGAGAAAGAAAAUAUGCAGCAUCAGAGGGUGUAUUAACGAAAACAGCAGGAUGUUCUUCUUCCCCCAAGAGAGAAAGGAUAAGAAGAGGAUGGCACAGUAGGUGGAAGUAUGUGACAACCCAAAGUCUGUGCUUCCACCUGAAAACUGAAAUUCCAGGUGGUCUGUAGCAGCUACUUUAAAGAAAAAUACUUCAUGAGGAAAAGAUUAACAUCAGCAGUUCCAACACUGAACUUAUUUGAGGCUGUAAUAAAUAUUGCAUAUCAGAGGCUGCCUCUAU